rnacentral:siRNA from 1 species
UGGUGAUUCGUAGUACCUGAAU